rnacentral:rRNA from 1 species
UACGUAGGGUGCAAGCGUUAUCCGGAUUCACUGGGUUUAAAGGGUGUGUAGGCGGAUAUUUAAGUCAGUGGUGAAAUCUCCGGGCUCAACCCGGAAACUGCCAUUGAUACUAUUUAUCUUGAAUAUCGUUGAGGUUGGCGGAAUAUAUCAUGUAGCGGUGAAAUGCAUAGAUAUGAUAUAGAACACCGAUUGCGAAGGCAGCUAACUAAGCGAUUAUUGACGCUGAGGCACGAAAGCGUGGGGAUCAAACAGG